GUUCCUGUAGUUGAAGGCAACGAUGGCUUUUCGAGUCAUAGGUCUCGGAUAGAGGCCGAGUAGGAACU
rnacentral:tRNA from 1 species